ACCCUUUGGCUUGUUCUCACAGGUAUUUGGGCCCCCCUGGCACUCCUUGACAUUUAUUAUUUUUUUGUUGCUAAUUUUUGUUUGAUUCCAAAGCUGAAGAAUAUAUUAAAAAUUUUAAAAAUUCAUCUCAUUUUUUUCUUAAACCGGAGCUUUCUUGACAUCUUCACUAGUAAGUCAAAAUUUGAUGAUUUGACUUGUUCUAAAGACCAGAAGCUGCAUGAUUGCUUCUAUGAUUUUAUUUAAGUUCAAUGAUCUAUAUCAAUUAGCCAUUGUUGCAAAGGUCUUUCCAUGAAAUGUAUGAAAAAAGUGAGGAUAGAAUGAUUAGAUUGGAUAGGACAUAUAAUGCAUUCAUGUAUAAUAAGUUAGCAACAGCAAAGACAAUUUGAACAAAAUGGCUUUACAAUAUGCAAGGAAUAUCAGCAGUUAUUGCACUAUUAGCUGCUAUACUAUGCAGUUGGAAGAAUUUUCCAGGGUGAAUGGCAUAAAAAAUGGUUCCCAUGGAAACAUGGCUUGAGUUAGCAAACAACAGUAUAUAUAAGUUUGAAGAAAAUGAUAUUAUAUUCUAUGAGUAAGGAAGAUAAUCAAACAAUGCAUAAUUAGAUAUCCUUAUGCAAGACAGCAAUCUUAAAGAAUAGGGGCUUUCUGAUCCCUUUUCAUAUCAGCCACAGAAAUUCAUCUAAAUAAAUCACUAAGACAGCACCAAAAAGAAGACUAAUACAGAUUUUAUCUCACAAUAUUUUUGUGAUGACAAAUGAUGAUUUCUAAAGACUAGCAUUGUUCUCCAACCAAAUACGUGAUCAAUGCAAAAACUGAGCAAGAACAGAACUUUUAGUUCAUACUUCAUAGCACAUAAUAGAAAUGAUGUUUUAUAGAGAGCUGAACUCUAUAACUGAUUCUAGAAGUUUGUUAACUUCAUGAAUAUUAUACUUUGAUUUAUUUCUAUUUGUUUGCUUGUCCUCCUGUCACAACUUUUGACAUGAGAUAUUUAUGUGGUGUUCCUUAUAUAUACAUUUUAUGUAUAUUAGGUUUCUAUGUGU
rnacentral:misc_RNA from 1 species